rnacentral:pre_miRNA from 1 species
CAACUACUCCCUCUGUCCCAAAUUUCUUGUCUUAGAUUUGUCUAGAUACGGAUGUAUCUAAUACUAAAAUGUGACUUGAUACAUCCGUAUCUAGACAAAUCUAAGACAAGAAUUUUGGGACAGAGGGAGUAGUUG